AACGAACGCUGGUGGCGGGCCUAAUACAUGCAAGUCGAACGAGAAAGCUUCUUCGGAAGUGAUUAAAGUGGCGCACGGGUGAGUAACACGUAGGUGAUCUACCCUUCAGUGGGGGACAACCCGGGGAAACUCGGGCUAAUACCGCAUACGCUGAGGUACUUGAAAAAACUCAGGAAAGAUUUAUCGCUGAAGGAAGAGCUUGCGGAUCAUUAGCUUGAUGGUGGGGUAAUGGCCUACCAUGGCGACGAUGAUUAACUGGUCUGAGAGGAUGAUCAGUCACACUGGAACUG
rnacentral:rRNA from 1 species